GAUUUUGUAGCUCAGUUGGUUAGAGUGUGCUGCUGAUAAUGCAAAGGUUGCAGGUUCGAUCACCGUAAGGGACA